AAAUAUAAAAAUGAAUUAUAAACAUUCCUCUGUUCAGCAACUUAGCGACUGGCUAGGGUUUACUCCCAUUCUCAACUUUUUCUCAAUCUUCAUCAUUUUUACAGCUUUGUUCCACGAUUUGAUUGAAAGUUGUUCUUGAUUUCUUGGUUCAGUGUCACGAUUUUUAACGGAACAUUUGAAGGAAAAAUAUUAUCAAAUUGGUGAUAACUUCAUUAAUGCUAUCUAUUGCAUUAAGAUGGUGAGUUGUAUCUAUGUUCAGGGACUUUAGUUGGUCAUCUUAGUGGUGACUUCUAUUUGAAAUGAGCAUUACUAAGAGGUUAUGCUAAGACAGGGGCCAUGAACAAGAUUUGGAGAUUUCUGUUUACAAGUCGAGAUGCAAGUUUGAAUAUUUUCAACAAGUUUUGAUAAUCUGGUCAUCAUUUUGCUACUACAAUUUGGCAAAGUAUUUCAUUAAUUAUAUACUUGGAUAUGUUAGUUGUGCAAAGAAUAUCAUGAUCAUAAUUUUAAAAAGAAUUUGACA